GAAAUGCGAUAAGUAAUGUGAAUUGCAGAAUUCAGUGAAUCAUCGAAUCUUUGAACGCACAUUGCGCCCGCCAGUAUUCUGGCGGGCAUGCCUGUUCGAGCGUCAUUACAACCCUCAGGCCCCCGGGCCUGGCGUUGGGGAUCGGCGGAAGCCCCCUGCGGGCACAACGCCGUCCCCCAAAUACAGUGGCGGUCCCGCCGCAGCUUCCAUUGCGUAGUAGCGAACACCUCGCAACUGGAGAGCGGCGCGGCCACGCCGUAAAACACCCAACUUCUGAAUGUUGACCUCGAAUCAGGUAGGAAUACCCGCUGAACUUAAGC
rnacentral:misc_RNA from 1 species